UACGUAGGGGGCAAGCGUUGUCCGGAUUUAUUGGGCGUAAAGAGCGUGUAGGCGGCCAGGUAGGUGGGUUGUGAAAACUGGAGGCUCAACCUUCAGACGUCGACCCAAACCCCCUGGCUAGAGUCCGGAAGAGGAGACUGGAAUUUACGGUGUAGCGGUGAAAUGCGUAGAUAUCGUAAGGAAGACCAGUGGCGAAGGCGGGUCUCUGGACAGUUCCGUGACGCUGAGGCACGAAGGUCAGGGGAGCAAACGGG
rnacentral:rRNA from 1 species